UCGGUCUUCGGAUUAUCUAAUUAGUAAUGAAUGAAAUGUUUUACUACCAGUUGUUACUAUAAUUGUCUAUAUUGUGGGCAUAUGGAAAUAAAUGAUAAAUUUAACACAAUUUCAACAUUGCUUACAAUUUUAAAUGAAUAUAUUUAUACUGUGUGUAUUUUAAUUCUCGUGGUCAUUGAUGUGUUUUGACUGACAUUAAACCAGUGCUUCAUUUUCAUUGGCCGAUACGGCGUGUAUGUUUCAUUGAUCGGUCAUCGGAUUAUCUAAUAAGUAAUGAAUGAAAUGUUUUACUACCUAUUAUUACUAUAAUUGUCUAAAUUGUGGGCAUAUGGAAUAAAAUGAUAAAAUUAACACAAUUUCAACAUUGCUUACAAUUUUAAAUGAAUAUAUUUAUACUGUUUGUAAGUGUACAAUAUUGUGUAAAUUUCAAAGAUGUGUGCUCAUCAACUGAAUUUGUUUGUGUAAAGUGCUUACUUUUCAAAAUGGAUUUACUAUGGAUUUAGUUGCUGUCGCGUUGGAUAUAGCGUGCCGUACAUCUCUACCCUUGAUUAAUCCAGUGAGAACCUGAAUAGAUGCCAUGAAUUCACGAUCCUUCAUUAAAUUGAGCAAUCUCGAGAAUGGUGGCGCUGUAAGGUGACGGUUGAUACCUGCUCGGAUACCAAUGUGUGGUGAUCUGGAGUAAUUACCACCUUUCCUGCUCUGCUGACAAGCAUAGAAUGUUGCAGAAGUGCGUCCAGUGUUGUCGGAUCCAGGUCUUCAAAUGAUUCAUUCAGAUACUCAUUUUCAGACAUCCAGGCUGAAAAUGCAGCAAAAAAAAAUCUAUUUGGGAUUAUUUACACAAUCAUAUAUUUUAAAAUAUAGUGAUUUUUUUUAUUCUGAUGGAAAAGUGAUGGAUUAAAAACAGAAAAAAAUAUACAAGUAAGUGUUAACUAACAAAACUGAUUAACUGUUGGUAUAGACUGGAUCACUCCUGCAUUGGAAUGCCUUAUUGGCCUGUGUACGGUAACGUCUACCUGUCACACAAAAGAUACUUCUUAGUGUUAACGGUACUUUGUGCACACAGGUGAACUGUCAGUGUUUUGAAAUACACUCAAUUUGCGCAAUUGUUUGCGGUCUAGUUUCUACAUUUAUCAAAAAUUUUCACCCGUAUAAGCAUUCCGAGAGCUUUCAGACUUUGAGAAAAGAUGACGCAUUAUAAGGAUUUCGAACACAACUUAAGUAAAAGUGUAUUAUCUAUAGUGUUGGAACAUUUUAGGGAUAGUAAGGUACCUUGUGUUAAAUUUCCUUCACUGAUUUGUGAAAUGAUAUUCUGAGUAAUCAAUAUAUUCUGAGUAAUCUAUGAGCAUUAUUAUUUAUACUACAUGAUAGGUCAAAUCAAGUCAAUAUAUACCUUUUAAUAAGCCAACGGCCCAUUUAGUGCUGCUGUCAGUGGUUUUCUUGGUGUUCUGUGCUUUUAAUCUUGUUAUGUCUGAUUCUGAAGCACUCUUAAAUCUUUUAUUUGGCUGCUGUAAGACUUGAUGUUCGGACUCUGCAGUGGUUGGCUCUAAAGUACUAAUUGCAGAGUUAACAGCUUCCAUUUCUAUUUCACCAAGGUCAUCAUCAAGACCAAUCCCAGUGGCAUUUUAAAAGAAUUCAUUUAUUUGUUUGUAUUUGGAAGUGUAAUUUUCGAAAACUUCAAAGUUAAACAAACAUAUAACUUCACCAGAAUUCCUUGUCAUCCUCAGAACCUCUGACACUACAUACUGUGCCAGUUUUGUACUGAGCCAUUGUAAACACAAUAGAUAUUUGAUAGAUAGUAUUUCUCGCUAGAUAUUAAACUUUGCAGACGUACAGGAAGUAUGAUGCAGGGCAAAAUUACUACAAUGUUUACGUUCAUUCAUAAGUUAAAAUCACGUGACAUUGUUUUCAUUCAUUAACUGGAUGUUAGUACUAUUUUACGGUAGCUCACCUGCAAAACAUUUUCCCACGGUGCGAAAAAUGCUUCUUGCGUGCAAAUAAAUAUCAGAAUACAAUUGUUUGUCUCAGAAAGUUAUAUAUAUAUUCUGUAUUACUACAAUUUAGUGCUGGAAAAAUGAGUAUAUAGAUUGCAUAUCGGAAAAAGAGGUGGAAAUUCUUAUGUCACAAUUGGUGGGAGUGAAAUGUAACAGCCAACCAUAUUUUAUCGUAGAUUCAUGUAUAGGCAAUUUCGCUAUAUGUUGAUAUAGGAAUUGCUACAGAUCGUGUUAGAAUUUUGAUUUUCAAUAUAUCUCUGUUAUUACAGAGAGGAUUUGAUUUAAACUUAAAAUAGUUGUUCCACAUCAUCACUCACAUCAGAUGACACAAGGUCCAUAACUCUUGCCAUGAAUUAUCCUCAUUUUUGGUGGCUGCUAGCUGCCACCAGUGUCAAAAAGAAUACUCCGUUUGAGAAAUCUUGUCAGUUCUUUAAGCUUUAAGACCAUCCUAACAACACAACCAAAAAUAGUUCCAAGCUUUCCAGGUAAACAAUUAUCUACACAACGUGCAGAAUAUGCAAAGCUAUAAUAUAUGCCUUAAUACCAUUUUAAUGUAAAUUCGGCGACUAAAAUCAAUACAAAUUGAAGUCAACGUUUUAAUUAAAACAACCACGUGUAUGAAUACAAAUAUGCAAAUUUACGGUCACGUGAAUAAACGAUGACCUCAUGUCACCUGAACUGGAGUGAUGAAAUUGAUUAGCUAUUGCAUAGUACUGCCCCAGAGGUCACGUAGCUUAUAACGUAGAAAAGUUAGCUUAUAUAGAAACCUAGCCUGGGAAUCCAGACUGACAAUUCAAAAAUGUUUCCUGACCGCAGUGUCACAUGUAUAACUCCCGAAAUUUAAGGCUUUAUUUGAUAAAGAACAAUGACUUCUGCUAGCAAUAAUUUGCGGCUAAAAAUAGAAACGGAAUUUCAACGGAAAAGUUUCCAAACAUUUCCGGUCCGUAGACAAUACCAGUUUGUACCUCUGAUAGCUUUUCCAGCAAGUUGUAACACUUUUCAAAUAUGUCAGAACAAACCUAAAUGUUCGUCGUAGCUAUCAAAUUGUAAGAUAUUAUAUUAAUGCAACCCUAGUGAUCUAAGAAUGUUACUGAAUUUUCGACAGCAUUUCAAGCACGCAAAAAUAUGACCACAUGUUAAUUAGGCUAUUUAUAGAAAAUCGAUAAUCAGCAGUGAUAUGGAUUUUCUCAGGUGUUGAUACUGCCGAUUAACACUAAUAAGCGCAAAUUUAGUGAGAUGAUUUAUGAACAGGACAGUACUUUAUUGAUAUAACUUGGACAUGUACAGUUCAUCGUUAUAUCACUAUCAAGAACAAAAUAUACUAAAACAUGCUUAGCGAUACGAGAGUGAACAAAAAUAAAAGAACAUUCAGUUAAAAUUCA